rnacentral:lncRNA from 1 species
AUUUUUGAAAUAUUUUCCAUUUUGAAAUUGGAAAGCUUAUACUGCAGACCCAGGCAUUUCUGCUCUGUUCCCCCUGUCCCAGAGAUGUCAUCAUGUCUUCAUUCAAACACUGCACUGCCCAGCAGAGAAGCGCCUCACAAAGAAACAUAAAAGACAAGUACCAGGGAAAGACAUGAUUCUGUGGAAUAAAAAGAUGAAAACCAGCCAUGACCACAUGAAAAUAAAAGAAGAUAAAGAUCAUUUCUUGAACAAUACCUUCACAUCACCAGAGCUGGGGAAAGUGGAAAGAGACAGAAAACUGUGAUAAGAAAUGAGAUUUUCCGUGCCUUGAAAAAGUCCCAUUCUGCUUUACUGAAGGAAAAAGAGGAAAAGUUGAGGAAGAUGGCAGCAUGAAUCAAAGACAUGGACUAAUAACUUGUAAUGAGAGACGGAUAAAUGUGGAACCCCCAGGCAUGUCUCUGCUCAGCGUUCCCAUCAGGUGCAGUGGCCUGUUAUGGAUAAAGGAGGAAGUGACUCACGAAGAGCAGGUUUGCUCUAAGAACAGAAGGAGCAAGUGUUGCAAGAAGAGGAGGGAUUUUGGAGCCGACGCUUUGAUGAUAAAAUUGGAUUGAAAGAGAGGCCACUGAUGGUUGAAGGUAAGAGUGACUAUUUAUAACCAAAACCUCUGGAUCUGUGAAUUGGGAUGGUGUCUUUUCAUAGAGACAGUUGUCACUCUGGUAUGAUUAUAAUAUGGAUCUUUGACUGUUGUUCAUUCGCUGAUAAUGUAUUCAUUCUAUGCUGAGCCAAGCUCCA